CCCCUUGGCCCUAACCCCUUGAUGUUAGCAUGUCUGUCGGGUCUUAAUAGGUAUAAGCAGUGUCAGCAUUCUCCAACCCUGUUCCUGGAGAGCUACCUUGCUGUAGGCCUUCACUCCAACCCUAGUUGUAACUAACCUGAUUCAGCCUAUCAACUAGCUAAUUAUUAGAAUCAGGUGUGCUAGAUUAGGGUUGGAGCAAAAAACUACAGGAAGGUAUCUUUCCAAGAACAGCGUUGGUGUGAACCUACAGGACGGUAGCUCUCCAAGAACAGCGUCGGAGAGCCCUGAGCAGUGUAGUACUACAACGUCCACCAUAUUGCUCCUAUCUAAUAGAUCUCGGCCAAGGGGAAGGGUAGGGGUUGAAUCGGGUCCUGCUCUAGGAUGGCCGGGCCCCGCUGGGGAUGUAUGCCUCAGCCCUGCCUCCAUGGACUGGGUCCCAAUUUACCCAGAGACUUGCUGCACCCAAAGAAUGCCCCCACCCCCCGACUCCCAGCUUAAUGUACUCAUCCCUCAUAUAGCCGUUUUUUUAAUGUUAUUUUAUUUAACCUUUAUUUAACUAGGCAAGUUUUCUGGUCACUCAUUUCAUCCUCUCACCCACACUUCACUAUCUCCUUGUGUCCUCGGGGACCUGCCAUUUGUCUUAAUUGAAGCUUCCUGCCAAGUGCCAUUUUGCCAUGAGAGAAUUGAGCUGCAAAACAAUCAUUGAAUGGAGAAGUAUUACAGGAGUGGCUUCAUAGGUGCCUUUUUGAUGGAUGAAGAUGUGUGGCAACUAAGGCAACCAUGUUAGCUCAAGGGCAGAACUUUUAUCCGCUACAUGUCACUCAUUCUGUAACGACAGUGGGAUUCAUGUUGUCUCUGGUGCUGUCUUAGUUUCAAUUUCCUGUUUACCAAAGGACUUUCGGUACACACCUUGCCAAGUUUGAUCUGGGGAUGUUUUAUUCAGGUGAAAGGUUGAAGAAGCAUUUAAUUAAAGUGUGACAAAAUGAAUCUACUGGCAUUGUUUAGCAAUGUGUUUUUCAAGAUUAAGGUUAUAUGACAAAGAGCAUUUGACAGUUUUUCAGGCCAGCAGUCCAAGCUAUGUCUGUAGAAUGUAUACAUCCAAAAAUGUGCGAUUACAAAAAAAAAAAACAUUUUCACAUGCCAGCAAUUGGUCCUGUCUGUUCAAAUAGUUGAAAGCAACUCGGGAUUUUGUCUUGAUUGAAUGUGGUGUUUUUGUACUAGACAGAUUGUGAAUAUGUCACACAGGAGAACAUAAUAUAUUAAUGUACAAUCACAGCGCUACACACUUUGUACCUUUUUUAAGUUAUUGACAACUUUGACUUUUGGGUUGCUCAAUAUGACAUCUGUGCAGAUGUGAAAAUAUGUGCCUUAUAACAUUUGACAAUUCCUCUUUUUCAGUUAAUAAAGAACUGAAAACUGUUUGUUGCUCGAGUCCCCUCAAACUCGAUUCUGGACCUCGAAGCCAGUUUUUUUUUUCAAUUGUUCCCCUCUAUUCAGGGACAGGUUUAGACCUGGGACACCUGGUGGGUGAAAUGACCUCCUAGGGUAAGAGUUGAAUACCCCUGCUCUAGUCUAUUUGGUGUAAUUGUGUACCUUUGACCCAUAUGCAGUAAUGCAGGCAGCCCAGUGGAUCAGUAGUGUCACCUGGCAUCCUCUAGGGACACUAAAGAGCAGUGUCCCUACUGUCCCCUAGGCGUACUGUAUGUCUGUGUUGGCCCCUGCCCCUGUUGCCCAAAGUCUGACUUGCUUUGGAUGAGGAAUGGUUGGAUUUUGCUCUGUCCUGUAAUAUAUAAUCUGAGAGUGUGCAGGCAAGGAUGAACAAGGGAAAGAACAUGAUCUAAGAUUGAUUGCUCCUUAGAACUUCAGAUGGAGCACUUAAAAAGGGAACCAUGAAGAGAAGCUUGGAGUGGGCAAGGGAGAGGCUAAUAAAGCAGCAGAGGAGACCUGAUUCAUCAAGUAUCAAUUAAUUUAGACACUUCAAUCUGACACUCUUGUUAAUGUUUGACGUCAGGCAAAACAUCUUCAGCCACCGUAGGACGGAGAGCCGCUGGUUGGCAUUUGACUGCAGUGUCUGUCUGGGUGUACCAGGAAAGGACGUUAGUAGUUAUAUAUCAAAGAUAUCAAAGCUUCUUACCGUCUCCACUGCAGCUUAGUCGUUAUCGAUAAAAUAAACUGGAACAAUGGAUUGUACGACAUUAUGUACAACUCCAGUUUGCCUAUUGCCCCAACUAAUGUCAAUUAGACAUUUUUACAUACGUCAAGAGUGCAUUUUCUUUUAUAGCUUUGCGUUCAACACCAUCCUUACCCACAAACUGGUUAGCAGGCUCUGGGUGUAAAUCCUGUAAUAAAUUAGAUUUUUUACAUUAUAAGAAUGUGUAUCCCCAGAAUGGACCUGACACUACCAUGGUACACAUGAGUACAUGAAGGAGCUGUGAGACUUGACAAUAGUGAUAGGACAAGUUUCAGCAUAAGCAAAACAAAGUAGAUGGUGAUACUUGACCAUUCUCCCAUCUACUGUACAUUGACAUGGAGAUGAUCAGCAGCUGCAAGUUCCUGGGCACCCUGAUAUCCUUUUCUGCCCUCAGUUACUUCACUCAAAGUCCCACUUGUGCUUCUCCACUAACCUCAAACUUGCUGCACCACGACCUAUGUACCAACUACAGUGUCUUGUAUUGCCAUAACACAUGUAAAGGAAAUGUCCAUAUUUACUGUAAGAUUUACUUAUGGUAACAUUGCACAUAUUGUAGUCCCUUGACAUACAUGACUUAACUACUUUGCAUAAUGCUCAGUUUACCCACUAAAAUCAUAAAUGUAUUUAAAUAUUAAAGCUGCAUUAUGUAAUACUGUGUCCAAUUGAUUCUGAUUGGUUGUAAUGUUUUUGAAAACUUUCACUACAACAUUUUUUU